rnacentral:rRNA from 1 species
UACGGGGGGAGCAAGCGUUGUUCGGAUUUACUGGGCGUAAAGGGCGCGUAGGCGGUCAGCACAAGUCAGUUGUGAAAUCUCCGGGCUUAACUCGGAAAGGUCAACUGAUACUGUGCGACUAGAGUGCAGAAGGGGCAACUGGAAUUCCUGGUGUAGCGGUGAAAUGCGCAGAUAUCAGGAGGAACACCAAUGGCGAAGGCAGCUCGCUGGGACGGUACUGACGCUGAGACGCGAAAGCGUGGGGAGCAAACAGG